CAAUAGCGUAUAUUUAAGUUGUUGCAGUUAAAAAGCUCGUAGUCGGAUUUUGGCUGAGAACGAACGGUCCGCCGUUAGGUGUGCACUGUUUGGUCUCAGCUUCCUGGUGAGGAGGUGUGCUUCACGGCUACUUAGUCACCGUGGUUACUUUGAAAAAAUUAGAGUGUUCAAAGCGGGCUUACGCUUGAAUAUAUUUGCAUGGAAUAACACCAUAGGACUCCUGUCCUAUUUCGUUGGUCUCGGGACGGGAGUAAUGAUUAAGAGGAACAGUUGGGGGCAUUCGUAUUUCAUUGUCAGAGGUGAAAUUCUUGGAUUUAUGAAAGACGAACUUCUGCGAAAGCAUUUGCCAAGGAUGUUUUCAUUGA
rnacentral:rRNA from 1 species